rnacentral:lncRNA from 1 species
AUGGGGUGCCCCCAAAACCCAAGGGGCAGGGGGUCAGACCCACGCCUCCUCAUCGUCCUCGGUGAGCCACGCGCCGCUGUCAGCCAGCGAGGGCUUGGCUGUGGGGCGUGCACCCCCGGGCUGCGGGCGCCGUGUCGGGGCUGGGGGGCGAUGCUGGCCCCGGGCACGGGGCAGGCGCUGCCCCAGCGGGGUGGGGAUGCGCGAGGGGCCCUUCCCGGGCCGAUGGUCCCGCCGGGGACGCACUUUGGGCCGCAGCUUCAGCUUGUAGAUGGAGGGCACACGCUCAGGUUUCUUGAGGCACCGCCGGGGCUUUGGCAGGGUGGCCGCCCUCGUGCCCUGCGGGGCCUGGCCCCCUGCUGCCAGCUCCUCUGUGGUCCCCCCAGCUGGGAGGGUGGCACGCUGCGGGGUGGUCAUGGGGGGCUUUUGGGCCACCCAGCUCUCCAUCUCCACAGGGCACAGGGGUUGCCGGCCAUGGGAGAGCUCCUCCAGCACCCUGUCAUAGCCCGUGGCUGUGAGUGUGCCCAGCAGCCCCGGAGCCCUGAGCCCCCCCUGCCAUGGCCACAGGUUCCCCCCGGUUCAUCCGCCGGCACCCCGGGGCUCUCAGCAUCCUUGGCUGGCGGGCUCGUGGCUGGGUGGCACCGCUGGGAACCCUCCCCAGCAGCACAGCCCUUGCACCCGUUUGCAGUAGGGGACAGAGGGGUCGGGGGCUGGCAGAUGGCUGGGCUGGUUUUGCUGGGGGGUUUAACACUUCUGUCCCCUUUCGGAGCUUGGCUCAAAGAGUUUUGGGGUGAUGCUGGAUGCCCACGUCCAAAGGCUGCCCUGUUGCCUUCCCGGGGGCUUUUCCUGCUCUGUGAUGCACCCCGGGCACCCCGUUCCGGGGAGGAAGAACCGACCUUGACAGGGCUGCGGGCACAGGGCAGGGCAGCAGCAGGGACCCCCGCUUGCUGCAGCCUGACAGCCCCCACGGAUGAGCUCCCCCCUUGCCGGGUGCUUUUUGGAGGCGACGGUGCCCGACGCUGGGCACUGGGGGCCUUGCCCCUGCCCUGUGCUGCUGCAGACCGGGGGGUCCCCAGGAUGCUCCCAGGCGGCACCUCGCGGACCCCCGCACUGCCCAGCCGGGACGGGGUGGGUGCCCGCUGCGUGGCCCCACGGCCGGGGGAGCUGGGUCGAGCGGGUGACCUCGGCGUUGGGGUCCGUGUCCUGCAAGGAGAGAGAGACGGGAGGGGGGGGGGUCACAGAGCCACCGUGUCCCUCUGCAUCCAGGGAUGGGACAAAAAGUGCCCCGAAAAGCAGAGGUUUUGGGGUAUGAAGCCGCUCUGCACCUCACCUGCCUGA